UACAGAGGUCUCAAGCGUUGUUCGGAUUCAUUGGGCGUAAAGGGCGCGUAGGCUGCGGGGUAAGUCGGGUGUGAAAUCUCAGAGCUCAACUCUGAAACUGCACUCGAUACUGCUUUGCUUGAGGACUGGAGAGGAGAUUGGAAUUCACGGUGUAGCAGUGAAAUGCGUAGAUAUCGUGAGGAAGACCAGUGGCGAAGGCGGGAUCUCUGGACAGUUCCUGACGCUGAGGCACGAAGGCCAGGGGAGCAAACGGG
rnacentral:rRNA from 1 species